rnacentral:lncRNA from 1 species
UAACUCAAUGCAGACUGAUACGUAUGGUCAAAAUCAUAAUAAAAAUACAUAUCACAAACCAACUUCCUAUACAUGCCACUCACUUGAUAUUUCUAAUAUUUGAAUUAAUUUUCCCAAAAAUGAUAGUUUGAUAGUGUGAUUUUGCCUUCGACGAUUUCCAACCCCGAGCCGACCUGCAAAUACUAAAGAAAUGGAGAGGAUGGGUAAGCUUUACGCUUAGUAAGUUCAUAUGAAAAUAAUAAGCAAUUACUACCAUGUUUUUCAAGAUAAAACACUAUAAUUGUACAAUUACACAUAUUCACGACAGGCUGUUUUCUCGAGUCCCAGUGUUAAAAAAAAUCAUAUCUCAAGUUACAAAACUCAAAAUCCAAUUCUGUAAAUUUUCUAUGAAACUAGACUCAUAUGUAUACUUAAUAAUUGUUUUUCUAGAAUUUUUUGUUAGGCCAUUUAGUACAGUUUAUUAGUUAAAGUCUCCCCUGUUUUAGGGUAUGACUACUCUGACCCCUGUGCACUACGAACCAAAUUUCUCCCUGUACAGAAUUCCAACGACCAUGUAAUUUGUUUCCCUUAAAAUUAGAUUCAAUAAGGAAUCCAUUAAUGUAAGGUAUGACUCUCAAUAAUUUUUUUAAAAUUUAUGGUGAAUUUCUAAAGUCAGAAAAGGGGAUCUCGAAUUCAUUCAGACCCUGUUUCACAAGAAUUCAAAUAUCACACAAUAUAGAAUUCUUUUGCUUCCCCUGUUUCUUUCAUGUGAAAAUAGACUCAUUAAGAUUUAUUUCUAUAAUUUUUUUUAAAUUUAAUUCAACUUAGACAAUUUUUGGUGAAUUUUCAAAGUCAUGCACUACUGCUGUCUAAUAUUGUUUUACUACUAAAGUUCACUUAAUCCAUUCCAUUUUACCGAGGUUCGCUCAAAUAUUGAGCAUAUUACUCAUAAAUUCAAAUAAACAUAUACUUGCACUUGUUCAUCACAUAAUCACUUUCACAUGUAUUUUCAUUUAAUCGAUUUCUCGUUGAACUCAUCGGAAUAAUAACAAAUACACAAUUGCCUGCACAUUUUCCCAUUUCCACACUUGUAGCCGAAGCUAUCUGGUAAGCAUAGUAUCCUGCACUUAGUACUACACAUGCGACCAAUAGUCUGGUACACAUAGUAGCCUGCACUUAGUAUUACACAUGUGAUCACAAUUUUUGGGAACGCAUAGUAGCCUACACUUAGUACUACACAUGCGACCUCACAAUAGAUCAUUCGUAUCAUUUUUAUUCCGAAGGUUCAAUCGGGAAAUUCCUCAGUGUAACACCCCAAACCCGGCCCAGACGUUAUGGCCGGAUCCGACGUGUCACAUUGAAGGUUUUAAGAAAACCCAUGCCUCUUUCAACGUCCUUCUUAGUGUUUUAAAAGAUAGACUUUGCUAAGUUAAUAAAGUGAAUGGAAGCUGUGCACCAGGUAGGUAUCCGAAACAGAGGAGGUGAGCCAUGAAGGCUGUUUAAGUACCAAGCUCUUGAUUGGAUCCAAUCCUAGACAUGCCCACAACCAUUGCCACACUUUGGUGCUAGGUUAGCUUUUGAGAAAAAUAAGUUGGAAUUCAUUUAAGUAGAUAUUUUUAAUAAACCGAUUAAUUGUAUCGUUACGUUAUUUUGAAAACAAUUAUCAUUUUGGAAACGCACCCUAGGUCUAACUCAUAUUGUUAUCAGAAAAAUAUAGGGUAUAAAAUAAAAUAAUCCCAGAAAAAUAAUUAAAAUGGCCUUAUUACAACCCAAAACCAAAUAAUAAUAUUAAUAAGAUAAAACUUAUAAAAAAAUAAAUCGGCUAUUUAUUGCAAUUAAAAGAAAUAGAAAUAGUAGUGUAGCCAUCUUCGAGUCCCUCGCAGCUCCAAACCAUCUAAGCUUAGGGAUUACCUGAUAGGAGACUGAAGUUAAUCCACGCUCCGAGAACUCUUAGCCGACGCCCAACCCAAACGAGCACGCCAUACAGCGAAAGGG